UACGGGGGGGGCAAGCGUUGUUCGGAAUUACUGGGCGUAAAGGGCGCGUAGGCGGCUUUUCAAGUCGGGCGUGAAAUCUCCAGGCUUAACCUGGAAGGGUCGUUCGAUACUGUUAAGCUAGAGUGUGGAAGAGGCUACUGGAAUUCCGUGUGUAGCGGUGAAAUGCGUAGAUAUACGGAGGAACACCGGUGGCGAAGGCGGCAUCCUGGACCAACACUGACGCUGAGGAGCGAAAGCCAGGGGAGCAAACGGG
rnacentral:rRNA from 1 species